AGAGUCCACAUAUGUUCGGGGGAGGGACCCCAGAAGGCGGCUGACAGUAUUCCUUUAGCCAGAAAUCCCUUCAGGGAAGAGAAAGGUGCUCCCCUUUGCCUGCUUUUAUACUACAGACUGUUUCCAACUCCAGCUAGAAGUGACUAUUGCCGAUUAUGCUAAUCAGUGGCGACAAGCUCCCUUUGACUGCUCACUUCUCCAGUGAGGCUUCAAGCUUCUAGGCAUCAAGAUUAGUAAGGCUGUCUUCUGGGUGGGCCAGUUUGUUUCUCAGUGACACGAAAACAUUGCCUGGGGUGUGCACUGGUUUUGAAAACAACUAGAUUGCCCAUCUCCAUUUCUCUCUAUCAUCUACUGUAUUAUUCUAUGGACAACUGCCACCCUAAUAAGCUCAAAGGAAACCAUGAGAGACUGUCUAACUAGACUUUUUGCUUGAUUUCCUGGACCCAAGAGCAGGAGUGAGGAGCUUUCUCCUGGUCAAGAAGGGAAGCCAGAAGUCAAGGCCACAGAAGACACAGGAAACAUCAUUUCCAAAGUGGGAGACAAAGCUGUUAACAGGAAAUUAUUUGUAAAGUCAAGAGCCAAGCAAAACAGAAAAAGGACAAGAAAUCUAUCACCUGUGGGUAUGAAUGGUUCUAGGGAAGUCUGUUGACAAUUGGAGGGUCUCAAAGGCGCUUUAUGGUACUUAUUUUAUGACCCUGAGUCUGGAGUCUGAUGAAUUAAAGAGGAAAUUCUGCUCUGGGCAACAUUUAAGAGAUAGUAUCUCCAGGCAGUAACUUUCGUAUUAACUCUCAUAAGAUUGAUGCCAUUCUGUCAUCUAAAGUGUGGACAAAAGUAGCAUUAAAGCAAAAUGAAA
rnacentral:lncRNA from 1 species